rnacentral:rRNA from 1 species
AUGUCCGCGAACGCGCAGUUCUUCUGCUUCUGCUGCUGGGACGAGGUCCACGCCGCCGCCGCCGUCAGGUCGGCGCUCCACCGCAGCGCAGCCACCCCGACCGCCGCGCGCGCCUUGUUGUGCGGCGCCAGGAACUCGUCCGCCGUCGCCGUCGCGUUGGCCGCCGCCGCCAGCGCCUUGCUGACCCUGGCCGGCAGCGCGAGGCCGCCGUGGGCCGGCGCGGCGCACAGCGCGAGGAGGACGAGGAGGCACGCCGCGUGGUGGCGGCGCUGGGGAGCCAUGAGAUCUGGGGUGGGUGAGCCCAGUAAUGGCGAGCAGUGA